AAGUCGAGCGAAUGGAUUAAGAGCUUGCUCUUAUGAAGUUAGCGGCGGACGGGUGAGUAACACGUGGGUAACCUGCCCAUAAGACUGGGAUAACUCCGGGAAACCGGGGCUAAUACCGGAUAACAUUUUGAACCGCAUGGUUCGAAAUUGAAAGGCGGCUUCGGCUGUCACUUAUGGAUGGACCCGCGUCGCAUUAGCUAGUUGGUGAGGUAACGGCUCACCAAGGCAACGAUGCGUAGCCGACCUGAGAGGGUGAUCGGCCACACUGGGACUGAGACACGGCCCAAACUCCUACGGGAGGCAGCAGUAGGGAAUCUUCCGCAAUGGACGAAAGUCUGACGGAGCAACGCCGCGUGAGUGAUGAAGGCUUUCGGGUCGUAAAACUCUGUUGUUAGGGAAGAACAAGUGCUAGUUGAAUAAGCUGGCACCUUGACGGUACCUAACCAGAAAGCCACGGCUAACUACGUGCCAGCAGCCGCGGUAAUACGUAGGUGGCAAGCGUUAUCCGGAAUUAUUGGGCGUAAAGCGCGCGCAGGUGGUUUCUUAAGUCUGAUGUGAAAGCCCACGGCUCAACCGUGGAGGGUCAUUGGAAACUGGGAGACUUGAGUGCAGAAGAGGAAAGUGGAAUUCCAUGUGUAGCGGUGAAAUGCGUAGAGAUAUGGAGGAACACCAGUGGCGAAGGCGACUUUCUGGUCUGUAACUGACACUGAGGCGCGAAAGCGUGGGGAGCAAACCGGAUUAGAUACCCUGGUAGUCCACGCCGUAAACGAUGAGGGCUAAGUGUAGAAGGGUUUCCGCCCUUUAGUGCUGAAGUUAACGCAUUAAGCAAUCCGCCUGGGGAGUACGGCCCGCAAGCUGAA
rnacentral:rRNA from 1 species